rnacentral:rRNA from 1 species
GAUGAACGCUGGCGGCGUGCCUAAUACAUGCAAGUCGAGCGAACGGACGAGAAGCUUGCUUCUCUGAUGUUAGCGGCGGACGGGUGAGUAACACGUGGAUAACCUACCUAUAAGACUGGGAUAACUUCGGGAAACCGGAGAUACUACCGGAUAAUAUUUUGAACCGCAUGGUUCAAAAGUGAAAGACGGUCUUGCUGUCACUUAUAGAUGGAUCCGCGCUGCAUUAGCUAGUUGGUAAGGUAACGGCUUACCAAGGCAACGAUGCAUAGCCGACCUGAGAGGGUGAUCGGCCACACGGGAACUGAGACACGGCCCAGACUCCUACGGGAGGCAGCAGUAGGAAAACUUCCGCAAUGGGCGAAAGCCUGACGAAGCAACGCCGCGUGAGUGAUGAAGGUCUUCGGAUCGUAAAACUCUGUUAUUAGGGAAGAACAUAGGUGUAAGUAACUGUGCACAUCUUGACGGUACCUAAUCAGAAAGCCACGGCUAACUACUG